GUGCUUUGCAACCGGGACGUUGUCAAAUGAGCAGGAAUGGGCGAUGCCGUGAAUAAUCCGCAGUAAGGGGAGCAGGUGCCAGGGGGCGCAGCAGAGCCGCCCGCGGGACACCCAUCCUCGGCCCGGAGCUGCUGCCGUGGGGAGGGAAAGCCCUUCAGUCUACGGAGUGUGCAACUAAACGCAGUUCAAACAGCUCCCUGGACACGUCUCCUGCCACGAGAUGUCUCAGCCAAGGAUUUUGAGCCAAGAUAUGGAGGGAAAUGGUUUAACCAGAUGUGUGCCCAUGCCUGUGACACUGAACUUUGAGAUGCUGAUAUUUAAAAAGAUUACCAUCUCCCCUGCCUCCCAGCAGCAAGGGAAGACUGAAGCCACUGAGCAUGGAAUCCAGCCCACCUUGUACCUCCCAUCUCCCCAAGUGCAGCAAAAACAUCUACAGGCUGAUCUACAGCUGCUCUCAAACUCUGGAACUUCCAGUUGUAUAUGUUUUCAGGACAUAAGCCACCCCA